CACUUGCCUGGAGUUGGCCCAGACUCACGGGGUGUGUGGCCACGGGCCCCGCAGGCUGCACGCUGCCACCUCCAUGUCGAGAAGCUGUAGGAGCACCAACAGCUGUGGGCGGCCACACGCCAGGCGUCAGCGUCCUCGUGAGGGACCUGCUGUGCUGCAGCAAAACAGGAAAUGAGGAAGAAAAGUACUCUGACGGAGGCCAGAAGGCUCGGGAGCAGCAGCAGCGCAGGCAGAAGGGGUGUGGUGUGUGCUGUGUCCCCUGCACGGUGGGUCAAACACACGCGAGACUCAAACAAGAUGACCGUGUCGCCAGAGCCGGGCCCUCCGUCCCGGGUGUCCACCCCCUCACCCACCCUCUGAAUCCCAACACCGAGGCCACCCAGCCGGUGUCUUCUCCUGUCGCCUGGCCUUGGCGCAUGGGGCCUGUGAGCUUGGCCGUGGCGGUCAGUGGCUCUGACUGACCCAGCCUGUCUGGGUGCGGUCGUGCAGCUGAACCUGUGAUCGGGCACAGCGGAGGCCCAGGCCAUGGGUCCCGGGGAGCACACGGGAUGCCACCUCGCCAGUCGCCCUGUCUGGGCGCCUCCCGGUCUCAUGGCUGGCUUUGCCCCGGCCUCCCCACCCCUCUCCUUUCCUGCCCGUGAUUUUCCCACUGCUGCCACCAGGGUCUUGUCGCUGAGGUGGGGACCCCGGGGCGCGAUCCCGGCAUGCCUUCCUGGCCAGGGUUCCUCCUCCAGGCUCAUCUGGAAGGCACAGCUUGGCCAGCUUGCGCAGGGAGGGCAGGCCGCCUCUGCUCUCGGGCCUGGCCUCAGGGACUGACCCCAAAGCCCCCCAGUUGUUCCCAGAGUGACCAGGGCCAAAUCAGCAGCCCCUGGCAAGCACGUGGGCUUCUCUCCUCGGUGCCAGCUUCGGCCUGCCCGUCUGCCAGCAGAGUGGCUUCACUCAGUCGCCAGCGCUGAGGAAAGGAAGGCCUGUGCCAGCCGGCGUUCCCAGCGCAGGUUAGAGCCCCUGCCCCGAAGCCUUCCUUUGCCUCCUUCCCGAGCUCAUGCUCAUGCCCAGGGUCUCCCGUGCUUGGAGCCUGCGCCCCACCCAGAAGUCUCCCUCCUGCGGUGUCUUGGGGAUGGGGCUGCCGUCCUACUCAAACACACGCCAAGUCCUCUCCCGCUCAUCGACCUCGGGGAUGCAGAGCAGCCCGCCUUCCCUGGGCGGGGAUCCCUCUCCACUGCCCACACACGGUUCUCCGUGUGUGUCAAAGACUGCCUUGCAAGCUGCUGGCAUGCAACAAAGACCAGUCUCCCGCGGGGACCGGGGUUACUGAGAGCAUGAGCUCUACACACACGUGCAUGGGUCUUGCCUGUGUCUAGGCGUCCCCCACCUGCAGCUGAGCCACAGGGUCCCCCUAAAACAUCACGGGGGGCAGACGGUACGGUCUUACGGGGCCCUUGUCUCUGAGCACCCGGAAGGCUAUAUCCAGGCUUGAGCUGGGGCCUGACCCGGGGCUCUGGGAUGCUCCUUCUCCCCGCCCUGCUGCCAAACUUCCCGUGUGGUCCGCACUUGCCCUGGACCCCCUCCUCCUCAGCUGCCCUGUCCUGCGCCCGCCCCGAGGGGCCGAAGCGGCAGUGCCUUACUGCUCCGUGUCUUCUGCCUCCCCUGAGGGAUCCGGCCCCGUCUCAUGGUCCCAGACCUCAAUUCUCUCGUCACUUGCAUGAGUUUGC